GCCUGAUGCAGCAACGCCGCGUGAGGGAUGACGGCCUUCGGGUUGUAAACCUCUUUUAGUAGGGAAGAAGCGAAAGUGACGGUACCUGCAGAAAAAGCACCGGCUAACUACGUGCCAGCAGCCGCGGUAAUACGUAGGGUGCAAGCGUUGUCCGGAAUUAUUGGGCGUAAAGAGCUCGUAGGCGGUUUGUCGCGUCUGCUGUGAAAUCUGGGGGCUCAACCCCCAGCCUGCAGUGGGUACGGGCAGACUAGAGUGCGGUAGGGGAGAUUGGAAUUCCUGGUGUAGCGGUGGAAUGCGCAGAUAUCAGGAGGAACACCGAUGGCGAAGGCAGAUCUCUGGGCCGUAACUGACGCUGAGGAGCGAAAGCAUGGGGAGCGAACAGGAUUAGAUACCCUGGUAGUCCAUGCCGUAAACGUUGGGAACUAGAUGUGGGGGCCAUUCCACGGUCUCCGUGUCGCAGCUAACGCAUUAAGUUCCCCGCCUGGGGAGUACGGCCGCAAGGCUAAAACUCAAAGGAAUUGACGGGGGCCCGCACAAGCGGCGGAGCAUGCGGAUUAAUUCGAUGCAACGCGAAGAACCUUACCAAGGCUUGACAUAUACCGGAAACGUCCAGAGAUGGUCGCCCCGCAAGGUCG
rnacentral:rRNA from 1 species